GACGUGGAGGCCUGGGACUAGUCGGCCGUGACGUCAUUUACGGGACUCGUGUGUUCAAAGCACUUGAGAAGCAUAAGAAAACAAAUUGCAUCGCUUGAAUACUGUAGUCGUAUAAACCUUUUAUUCCACGUCAAUUCUUUCUGAUUGUAGUAGUGAAUACUCUGAAAAGUUGCAACUAUUCUGAUUUUAAUGAAGAAAGUAGAUAUUUGCUAGAAACCGACUACGAAACAAACCCAAGAUGGCGAUUACAUCCAGGCUUUAGACCUGUUUAGGACUAUGGUCUUUGCGACUGCCUGCUGGGAAAAAAAGAGGGGCAGAAAAUAAGAAAAAAGCAUCCAAGAAACGAUUUCUAAGCGUAGAAAGUUUACCCAUUUGGUACAUGGUUAUCUAGAUAGAAAAAUAAUUCCUUUGCUAGCAUUAUAUUAUUCCCCAAACAUUCAGAGAAGACGAAGACGAAUAUUUAACAUAGGUAAUUAUAAUAUUAAAUAGUGUGUACGAAUAUUAGAGUGUGCAGUAUAGAUGCACAUUUUAAGAAUUGCAGAUUCCAAGAUUUGUACUAGCUGUAUUGAAAUUAUUUACAUGGUAAUGCACUAA